UUAGACAAUAGUGUGAUGUAAGCGGAUUAUAAGCUCCCUAUUAUACUUGCUCUAAGGUCAUGUCAUAUGCAUGAUGAUGGAAGUAGCUAUGUCUUAAUGAUCUUUUAAUACUAUAGGUAAACAGAAGGACAUGAAUCACGGACGAAGAUCUUAAGAUUUGUGGUUUUUAGUCCUCUCUCUAUUUUUUCACUCGGCAUCAACAUGCACUUGACUACAAAUAUUUGACCAUUAGUCCAUUACUUUUUUGAGGUACUUAAACAUUACUUUUUUACCAACUCAAAAAAAAUGGACAUAAAACUAUAAGGAAAUAAAUUUUAAUUAUACAAUNNNNNNNNNNNNNNNNNNNNNNNNNNNNNNNNNNNNNNNNNNNNNNNNNNNNNNNNNNNNNNNNNNNNNNNNNNNNNNNNNNNNNNNNNNNNNNNNNNNNUCAAAGGCACAUCACAAAAUUACAACAAUUUUUGACUUCAUUUGGUAUAUUUCGUGCAUUUACUUAUUUUUUUUGAGCUAGUUGACCCUGAAAUUGAAAAGCACUACAAAUGAACACUGAAAAUGUUGAAAGUUGGCAUGCUAUCAUCAUUUCACCCACAUAGCAUGUGUAAAAAAGUUGAGAGGGCCACGACAAAAACUGGAUGCACUUCGUGUACAAAACGGACAAUCUCUCUCGAUAUCAGGGUUUCGAACGAGAACUCAUCUCUUACAAAGGGAUUUCAUUUUUUUGAACUUAUUNNNNNNNNNNUAAAACGGAGAAUCUCUCUCGAAGUAUCAGGGUUUCCAACGAGAACUCAUCUCUUACAAAGGGAUUUCAUUUUUUUGAACUUAUUUGAACUCCAUACUUUUUGUGUGUUCAAAAUGCACCAUUAAAAGGCACAUCACAAAAUUUCAACAAUUUCUGACUUCAUUUGGUAUUCUUCGUGCAUUUACUUUUUUUUUGGGCUAGUUGACCCUGAAAUUGAAAAGCACUACCAAUGAACUCUAAAAAUGUUGAAAGUUGGCAUGCCAUCAUCAUUUCACCCACAUAGCAUGUGUUAAAAAGUUGAGAGGGCUACGACAAAAACUGGAUGCACUUCGUGUACAAGACGGACAAUCUCUCUCGAAGUAUCACGGUUUCGAACGAGAACUCAUCUCUUACUAAGGGAUUUCAUUUUUUUGAACUUAUUUGAACUCCAUACUUUUUGUGUNNNNNNNNNNNNNNNNNNNNNNNNNNNNNNNNNNNNNNNNNNNNNNNNNNNNNNNNNNNNNNNNNNNNNNNNNNNNNNNNNNNNNNNNNNNNNNNNNNNNGAUACCUCCUUAUGGUAGCUUGUCUUUGAGAAGACGCAGCGGGGCCUGAUGACGGAGAAGCGGCGACCAGACCCAGACGGCGGGGCGACGAGCCAAGGGAAGAGGACAGGCCGGAGUGCACUUGUCUGCGGCGGGGGNNNNNNNNNNNNNNNNNNNNNNNNNNNNNNNNNNNNNNNNNNNNNNNNNNNNNNNNNNNNNNNNNNNNNNNNNNNNNNNNNNNNNNNNNNNNNNNNNNNNNNNNNNNNNNNNNNNNNNNNNNNNNNNNNNNNNNNNNNNAGUCGGUGGGAUCGUGCAGGCGGCCGGAGACGACGGCGAGCAGCUCGGACGGGAGCUCCGCCCAACGACGGCGUCGCUGGGGCGCCGGCGGCAUGUUUGGGUGGAGUACGCGAGAAAGAAAGAAAGAUGGAUCGGCGCGCGGCUGCUAGCUAGGGUUUCUCUUCUCUUCUAAUGGCAGGUGCUGGCCGUUGAUACACGUUUGGAUAUAUCGAUCGAUACCAGGCUGCAGCUCAAUCGGUUUCAAAAAUACUAACGAGCCCGUGUACCUUGAAAACAAAAGAAAAUAAAAUCUAAAGAGCCCGUGAAUAAUGCAUCCAGAUGCAUCAUGCGUGAAAUAGGUAUGCUGAUAUACAACGCUGUAAGCACUAAUCUGAUCAACUCUCUCUCUCACUCUCGCUAUCGAUCAGGAUCACACACACACGGUCACAGGAGCUCGAGAGGUUUUUGGCGAUGCAAACAACUUGCAUCAUUUUCUGUAUUUCACUUCUACUCUUAUUCAGUUACAGUCGACCUAGAGCCACCAACGGCCCGAGCAACGCCAUACUGCUUUGCAUUGCCAUGUCAAUCUCCACACUUUAUCAUCUUUAUUACUUCAUGAAAUAUUUGAAUAUUUUAAUUAAUUUUCCGGUCUCCUUCUUGGAUAAUAUAAUUUUUCUAAUACAAGACUAAUAUUAAAUAUAGAACUGAUUAUAUAAUACUCCUACACGAUAACCAUUUCAAAUACCUGAUGGAUAUGUUUUAAUACAAUGAACAUUUUUAAUACAUGAUCAACAUUUUUACAACAGUACUUUUUUAUUAUACCUGAUGUAUUUUCUUUUAUUAUACACACUAUUUUCAUUACACGAUGAAUAUAAUCCAGUCUGAGAAUGUCAACACUAGAUUCAGAGUAUCGAAUGUCAACGUUUUUUUUCUUUGUGAUGUUCUUGGGAACUUUACUUGCCGCAGUAGAGACUGGAUUCAGAGUGUGAAUGUCAACACUUGUGUCGAAAUUUCAUAACUCCGAAAAUUACUAGGAGUAGUAAAAUCGUUUGAUGUGCCUGCAUGAAUGGGUUGACGAGUUCGAGUGGCGGUUAUACCUGGGCAUCUCUGGCUCGGCCCCAAAAUCCAGAGCCUAGGCCCUAUGGGAUUUUAAGGGAGAGACCCGGCCCACGGCCCCAAAACCCGACGGGCUUUUCAACACAUAGGCCGGGCUUGGGCUUCAAAGUAGGCCCGAUGGCAGGACCAGUGCCUCAAUUUUCUGCCGUGGCCUUUUUAAGGCCCGACCCAAGCCCGGCCCGGUCAGGCCCAUGGCUAGAUAUAGUGACGAUUAAGAAUGAUAAGCAGACCACACAUUGCCAUGAAUCUGUCUACCCCUGUACAUGUCAUGAACACUAGCGGCGAAGAUGCGCGGCGCACGCCGCGCCUGUCGAAAGUCUCAUUUAUAUUUCGAAUAAGUGCUUCAAUUUUAUUUUUAUUGCAUGCAUGUAAUCUUUUUCAUGUUUAGCUGGUUGGGAUUUUUUGGGGGUUUUAUAGGACGGAAAGGAGGUGUAGUUUCGUUUUGGCACGAUUCACUGGUGUAAUAAAGUUAUUUAUAACACGUUUACAUCCGUCGUAGUUGUCCUUUUGUUUGUACAUGUAGAGAUGCUUGACUUGUUUUUUUGUAUAGAGCAACAAAGACCAUUGCCGGUGGUGUCCAUUUCAUGUUCUUAAUAGAAUGGAAGCGUUUUAAGGAUCAUGCGGCCGAAGUUUUGAAUAAAUCGUGAUUUAUUGAUGGCAAAGAGUUAAAUAGUACAGGCAAGGUACACAACAAAUCAUUCUGAAUACAACGCAACAAAUUGAAAUCUUUAGUGUUUCGCCUUUUUUGUCCUUGCAGAAUUUCUUUAACAUGUGAGACCUGGCGAUAUUCAAUAAGAGAAGUGAAUCAGUGUUAUAUUAUUUUUAAAUUUUAUUAUUUCUUAUCUGAGUGCAGGGACUUCUUCAUGCAUGACCUGUGUGUAUUAUAUUUAUAUUUGGUCUGUCAUAUCUUCAUAAUAUUCAUCUGGGAGUUUUAGCAGGCGAACAACGCUAGAAUCAGUAGCAUCGAAGGUGUUCUUUUUUGUAUGUGUGAGUAAUGCUGAUAGAGUGAAAUUUCUCUUAUCGUACAUGGUGAGCGAAGGAUGGUGGGGUUGGCAAUGAUCAUAGUGGCCGUAGAGCUUUAAUAGAUCAUAAUGCAACAGUGGGUAAUACAAAAAAAUAAAAAUAAAGAAAAUAAUCGUUAAUCGUAGAAAAACUCAGGUUUUCCCUUUUGUAUUUUCCUCGGAUUAUUGCUUAUGCGGAUGCAAUGUGUUGGUAUUAUUCUGGUUUACAAUAUAUGUAUAAAGUUUUUUUUAUGGAUGUGGGUAUAUUUCAGUUUAUUGAGUGGGCAUGGAAACACUGGUCAUGCGAAGCACUGUUGCAUAGGAAGUGUCUGUUUUGGAAAUAAUGGUUCGGUUUAUUCGGGUUAUCUGUUCCAAUUUGUAAGUUUUACUGUUCUCUAAAAAUAAGAUAUCACUCAAACUGUUGGAGAAAAAUAAAUCUUGAGGCAACAAUCCAUAAGAAUAAAUAUAGUGAAAAAUAAUCGAGCAAUACCAUUUUAAACAACAAAAAAAGGCUGACACGUAAGAUGCGAUCUUUUCUCGGAUUUCGGCUUCAUGGUUGGAGUGGAAAGACAAUCAAUUUAUUAUUAAAGAGCAAUGCCAUUAGGUAAAAUUCAUUAUUAGAUAAUAUGUAUAUUUUUUUCUCUACGUAUUUAAGUAUUCCAUUAGAUUGGUAUUCAUUUGGUUUAUUUUUUCCUCUACGUAUUUAACUAUUCCAUUAGAUUUGUGUGUUCCACUUUAGGAAUUAUCUAUAUAUAAGUCUAAAAGAUAGCAUGGUAUAAUUGUAUUAAAGGAAACCCGUAGACAAUUUACUAACCAAAAAAAUAAUAAUAUCGGAGUACUUGUACGUAUAAGAGAGUAAUAAAAUAUACAUAAAGAACAUUUUUUAGAAAUAUAAAUACCUUUGACGAUAUACAGUACGUAAAAAAACCAUUUUUAUGAAUAUUGUUCAUAAAUAAUAUAUUUUAUAAGAAUAAUACAUGGUAUGAUUCAUAAAUACUAAUAAUUAUCAUGUUUUCUGUAAGUAAGAAAUCUCCUUUUUCUUUUUAAACACUGUUCACAAGGGUAUUGUUUACAAUAUGAUUACACGUAAAUAGGCAGUGAUGCAGGAAAAAUGAGUUACUGUUUACACGGAUUAAUCACAAUCGAGUUACUGUUUACAUCGGGUUACUGUUCAUCGAUGUUGACAUCGACGUAAAAAUGAACAGUGAAUGGUAAAAAAAAGAGUCAAAAAAACCAGGAAAAGAGGAUCGCUGCGGCUUUAGUAUAUAGUAUAUACUAGCGGGGACAUGGCCUAUAGCCCCGGCCCGUAAGGGGCUUUAGUCCCGGUUCACCAACCGGGACUAAAGGGGCGGGACUAAAGGCCUAACCUUUAGUCCCGGCCCUGUUCUAAGCCGGGACCAAAGGUGCUCCACGUGGGCGCCUCGGAGCGCCCUCAGGGGCAGGCCCUUUAGUCCCGGGUCUUAACACGGACCGGGACUAAAGAGUUUCAGAUUUUGUUUAUUUUUGGGUUUUAGGGUUUUAGGGUUUAGGUGUUCGGAAGAUUAACGUGAUGCCUCGUUUGAUGUUCGGGAAUUAGUUUUCAUAUAAUUCUAAAUAAAAAUAAUUAUGCAUAUAUAUAUAUAUAUAUAUAUAUAUAUAUANNNNNNNNNNNNNNNNNNNNNNNNNNNNNNNNNNNNNNNNNNNNNNNNNNNNNNNNNNNNNNNNNNNNNNNNNNNNNNNNNNNNNNNNNNNNNNNNNNNNNNNNNNNNNNNNNNNNNAAGCGAGCAUAUAUAUACAAUUAUAUGGAGAUCUGAAUUAUCGGGACUCGAGCCUGUCUAUUCGAUUACAUGGACCAACAUCACUAAUGGCCCCUAGCUACACUAAAUUGUCCUGUGUCAUCUAUAGCUUCCGUCCUCAGAAAGGUCGCAAGCUCCUCUGAAAGAACAAUCGCGCGUUACUCUGGUAGGGACUUCUCCCUCAUGGCCGUGUACUAUAUAAGAAGAGGAGAUGAAUAUGAAUAUCAAUCAUGAUAACAAAGAAUGACGGAUAAAAAUAGAGGUGUGAAUGUUCAUUGUUUACGUCGUAUCUGUGAUCCUUGUGCUCAGACGUAAGUGCGAAUGGUCUCGCAAACAUAGUAUCCGCAUAGAUGCGUCCCCCGUGGUUGCUGGUCGCACUUUACGAUAAUAGAUAUAUAUAAUCAAAAUAAUAAUCUAGCAUCAUAAAUGUAUUAAAAAUAAAAGUAUAUCAUACUAUUACUUACCUGAGCCGCUCUAAAGGUCAGCUUCUCAGGCUCGAUACCGGGAGUCACGCACUUGAACCGCUUCCAAACCCUGUCCGACAAGGAAAAUGAUUUGCUAAGUUUUUCAUUAAUUGAUAUAUCAGAAAAUCAUCGAAAGAGACCGAUAGAGCGCAAGAAUGAUUGAAAUUACCCUUGGAGCAUGUCAUGCAGGCUUUGAAACUGUUCCAAGGGUCUCGAUAAUGGGUCGAAGGCAUCAACUCUUCCCUUAUCAAUUUGAAUGUCCAACAGAAUCCAAUGAAAGCUGCACAUGUAUGUAUAUAUAUAUAUAUGUGUGUGUGUGUGUGUGUGUGUGUCAGUAACUUAUCAAUUACACUUAUAAGUGAAUGGACACAACAGAGUAAAGACCCUCACCUGAAGUUGUAUGUAAACAGUAUGUGGUCACAGAAAUUUUGAUCUGUUAGAAACCUUAGAAGGUUUUCCUCCAUCUCCUUGGGUUUAUCAGUUAGCGUCGCUAUAUGUAUUUUAUCUGGGUCAAUAAACCCAAUAUUUAGGAUGUUCCUAUUUUUACAAUCCAGAAUCUUCAUUCUGCAUAAUAGAGUACAAGUUAUAUGUAGACAAUGAAUUUAAAUAACUAAACAAGUUAUAUGUAGACAACGAAUUGAAAAACUUACAGACAAUAGCAACUCAUAAGCGAUUUGUCGAGGGCGUCGGCAUUGUACAUCCGGAAGAGUUCAUCAAAGUCGAUAUGGAUUUCUUCGGGGCGGCCGUAGUACUCCCGUGGGACACUCACCACGAUCAUCGUUCUCCCGUUCUUUGAUUUACUUAAGUACCAUGUAUGCAAGUAACACAUAUUUGUUGGGAGAUCAUCUUUGCUGACCAAAGGCGCUCCCAUGACAAACUGUGGCUUAGGGGCUACCACAGCCUUGGGUAACCUGUCGUCUUGGGAAGCUAGAACGUCUUCAACCGGGAUACCCCAUUCAUCCGCCCACUUCUUUGCUAAUUCCAAAUCUUGCCCCUGCACCAGAGGGGGGACAUUCUCGGGUACCACCCUGAGAGGUGGGAUCGACUGUUUGGCCUGUUGUCCAAGCUGAGGAACGUCUGAUCUUUUUUUUGCUUGUAGUUGAACUUGAUUUGCUCCCACUUGCACUUGCACGUGAUCUGCUCUUUUUCACUUCCUUUUGCAAUGUGCGUGUAUAGUCAUCAGGCUUAUGGUGUAAGUCAUACUGUGAUGGAAGGUCCGUGAAGUAUUUUGCAAAUGCUAUUUGCUUCUCGGUGUAUUCCGGGCGGGGCUCGGGUUCCUUCUUUUUCAUCUGCGCAUCAUGAUGUUCCUUUGCUAUCCUGGCGUUUUCCUCGACGGUACGAUCAUAAGGUCUGAUAGGAAGAUUAGCAUGAGGUACCUUUGGGAGGGGCGACAGUUUGCGCUUUGGGAAGCUCCGUCGCUUAGAAAUCAUCGGCGGAGCGUUCUUGCUGGCACGCUUCCGCUUAGUAUCCGGAGCGGGCGGCGGCAGAGACGGACGACCCAAGUCCGGCGGCGGUGAUCGAGAUGGACUCAUGUUGUGCUGGUCGUCGUCAUGUGGAGGGCUUGGAGGUGAUGGAGGUGUAGGUGACCUGCGACGACUCGGAGGCGGUGUUGUCCUUGGGGCCGAGCCUGGAAGCUUGAUGUAGUUCUUGUCCCAUAGGAUGACUCCACCCAGUACUUCUCCGAGUGUCCUCUCAUCUUCGGGUCCAGCUAUGUCGAGAUCCAUAUCAUGAAACUCCGCCAUGAUUUCAUCCACCCCGACUUUAGCAAAGCCAGCUGGAAUCUCACGGCCAUGCCAGUGUGCAUCAGGGCCAGAAGGUAAAGCUUGUCCGACGGCCACCUUCAUGGAUAUGUUCUUGAAUUUCUGAUGGAGUUCACAUGAUGUUGACUCCUUGAUUCCAUCCACGGGGUAGCCGGGACCGCCCUCUAUCAUUCUUCGUGCAUCGUCGGGCGGGGCCUCAGAUUCAGCCACGCUGCUUUUCCGCUUAGAUGGGGCGCCGGUAAUAUCGAGUGCAGGAUCUUCCUGGCGCGCGACUCCUCUAAGCUCAUAAAUCUGCUUCUGUUGCUCGUUAAUCCUGGCAAGCAACUGGUUGAACUUGUCAUUCUCCUCAUCCUGCUGUCGCUUCUUUGCUCUCGCUCGGCUUCUGUAAGCGUCUUGGUCUCUGGCAAACCCAAGCCACCACGGGUAAGAAGGACCGAAGCCUCGCGUUCGUCCUCCAUCUGCAGUGAACUGUCUUUUUCCCUCCUUAAUUUCUUUCACUAUCUUUUUCCAAUUCUCUCUGGGUAUCCUAAGACCGUCACUGCAGAUGAGGUCCCCUGUUUCUUCGUCGUACGAACCACCAUGCGCAAGGAACCAAUUUCUUGCUCUCAAUUCCCACUCAUCACAGAGUGGUUCAGGUAUGAUGCCUUUAGCUAGCAGAUCUUGCUCUUUCUUAUGCCACUUUGGGAUGGCAGUCUCAUAGCCCCCUGGCCCCAGCUUGUGGUGAUAUUUCUUCUUGUCGGCAUUUAUCUUGUCCUUUUCUGAUAAUGCCUGGGCAUCUUCUGACUCCUUGUACUCUUGAAAUGCCUUCCAGUGAUUCGCCUGCUUGGCUAGAUACCCCUCGAAUACUGGCACUUUCUUUGUCUUCAGAUAGUUUUUCCAUAGCUUCUUCUUCCAGCUACGAAACAGUUCGGCUAUCUUCUUUAGAGUCCACUGCUUGACUUUGGCCCUCAGUUUGUCUGCGGCGUCUUCAUUCUCACAUUCUGGCAGGUUGAAAUGUGACAUGAGAUCAUUCCAAAGAUUAUCUUUGUACCUUUCGGCGACAUAGUCACUAUCGGCUGCCCCUUUGCGCUUGUUCCACUCCUGAACGCUGAUCGGGACGUGAUCCCUAACGAGAACUCCGCAUUGCUUCUUGAAUGUGUCAGCAACAUUCUUAGGAAGCUUGGGUUCGCCCGUAGGCAAUAUCACCUCAAAGGUGUAAUGCGUCCGUGCAUCCAACUUUCUAGUCGGGCCUCGUUUCGUAGCUUUGCUCGAUGUGGAGGCCUAAGAGGGAGAAACAUUCGUCAAAUGAAUGUAUAUGUAUACAAUAUAGAGCUAUCUCCAAUAUUUUUCACAUAUUACAAGUGAUUUCUCCACCGGCUUCUCCAUCAGUGGAGCUAUCACCUUCUCCGUCAUUGGACCUAUCUCCUGCCCCAUCGGCUUCAUCUUCGUGUCGGUCGACCUCCAUUCCAUAUCCGGAGGGGUUUAGAUAUGACGACGGAGAUUCAGUUGGUUCAACGUCGGGGCCAUCUUUGAUUAUAUCUUCGAGAAGUUCUUCCUCUUCGAGGUUCCUGAUAUGUGGAUCCAUAGUUCUGCAAAAAACGGACAUUUGAUUAACUAAUAAACUAACAAACUAUAUAAGAGGGGUUGGAAACUUCGAAGUGUUGUCUUAUAUAGGAGGACCUUUAGUCCCGGGUCUUGGCUAGAACCUAAACUCUAAAAUAUGUCUAACGGAUUCUCUUAACCUUUAAGGAUUUAACAAAAUGCGACAUUCUAGAUGUGUAGAAAAUGAUCCUAUUUUUCCUGAUCUCAUCUACCCUUCUAUAUGUCACAUUGUCUAGUGUCAAAGGACUUUGUUGAACUUUGUACCAAAAAAGAAUUAUUCUAUCAGGAACUUCGUUCCAAAACAACUUUAGUCCCGGGUCGUGGCUCCACCCGGGACUCCUAGAUUUCUGCAUAGUAUUCAAAGUAGGAGUACUUUUCCAAUUUGAGCAUUCAAUAAGCAAAACCAAAUCGUAAAAUAAAGUAGUAUUCAAAUUAGCAUGCAUUCAAUUAUAAGCAAAACUACAUCAUCUCUUUUGUCCGUACAUCGUCGAAUAUUAUCAUUAAUACUCCUUGAAUACUAUCAUACAUAUAGCAUCACUGAUACAGCUAGAACCGUAGCGCCCGACGGGUAUCGUCGCGGGCGGUGGACACCCAAAGAGAAGGAACCAUCACAGGAUCAUAGCUCCAGUGAGAUCCCUGAAGAACCUGUCAGGUAUGCUCGAACCUGCCUUCCAACGCAACCAUGUAGCGACGGACGUGCUCAUCCUCCUCGCUGACACGGUGACGUACCACCUCCGCGGUGUCCGGAAGCCUCGGCACCGUCACUGGCCCACGCGACCGCCACCAAACAAGGAUCGGGUCAACAACGGGCUGGCUCCUCACCAACCUACGCCCCCCCGGAAGGUAGCACCUCCCAAUACCAGCCGGGCGGAGCCCAGUCCCGGACAUGGCCCCUCUGAUCAAGCAGGUGUCCUCCGCCGAGUCGACAACGAGGAUUCGGGAUAGGCAUCGUAAAAUGAACUAAAAAAAUAAACUAGUUCUAUUAAUUUUCUUGCUAAAAAUAAACUAAUUGUAUAUAUAGUAAAAUAAACUAUUAACACUUAAGCAUAUACAAUAGAAAAAUUAAGCAAUAAUCUAAGAAACACUAAUUAAGCAUCUAUAUACGUAGAAAUGUCUUCUUCUUCUUCUUCUUCUUCUUCUUCUUCUUCUUCUUUCUUAUUUUCUUCUCCGCUUCUUCUUCAACUUCUCUUCUUCUACUUCUCUUCUUCUACUUCUCCUCUUCUUCUAUUUUUCCUCUUCUUCUCUUCUCCUCCUCUUCUUAUUCUCCUUUUUCUUCUUUUCUUCUCCUCCUCUUCUUAUUUUCCUUUUUCCUAAUCUUAUUUUCUUAUUUUUGUUCAUCUUUCUUCUUCUUGUAACCCUAACCUAAUUCUAAAUAUUACUAACCCUAAUAAUCUAGCACAAACCUAAUAACAAUAGGAAUUAAAUGACAAAAAAAUCUUUUCUUCUCCUUUUUCUUAUUUUCUUCCCUUUUUCUUCUUUUCUUCUCCUUUUUCUUCUUUUCUUUUCCUUUUUCUUCUUUUCUUCCCUUUUUCUUCUUUUCUUCUCCUUUUUCUUCUUUUCUUCUCCUUUUUCUUCUUUUCUUCUUCUUUUUCUUCUUUUGUUCUCCUUUUCUUCUUUUCUUCUCCUUUUUCUUAUUUUCUUCUACCGGCCGGAGUGUUGGGGAGGAGGGGGCGGGGGGCUUACCGGCCGGAGUGGGAGGGGAGGGCGUCGACGACGGCGAUGAGGACGGCACGCGGCGGCGAGGAGGACGGCGGGCAGCCUGGCGGCGUCGAGUUCGUCGGUGCCGCGCCGGGCACGAGAGUCCGAGGAAGAAGAACGAAAUGGCGAUUUGGGUUGGAAAUUUCCAACUCCUGCUUAUAUAGUAGGAUCUUUGGUCCCGGUUCGGGGCUCGAACCGGGACUAAAGACAAAGACACCCUUUAGUACCGUGUGGAGCCACGAGCCGGGACUAAAGGCCCUUUUUCGGCAGACCAAAAGGCGGGAAGCAGGGGCCUUUAGUCCCGGGUCAGGGCUCGAGCUGGGACUAAAGCCCCUCCGCUGGCUGCACGAUAAGUUUAGUCCCACCUCCCGAGCUAGGGGGACUAACACUAGUUUAUAAGCCUCGUCGCAGCAUCUCCAUCGAGCUCCUCUCUAAAGCACGCUUACGGGCCUAAACUGACUUUAAAUUUAAAAAUUGAAAUUAUAUUUGAAAUUAUGGAGAAAAUUAAACCUGAAUUCAAAGUGAGGUCACUUUGAAUUUAGGUUUAAUUUUCUCUAUAAAUUCUCAUAUAGUUUCAAUUUUUUUCUAUUUUCAAAAUUAACUAUUUUGUUAUUUUCAAUUAAAAACUAUGUUUAUUAAAAUUCUUUUUGCAUAUUUGAGAAUUGGACAAAACUAUGAUAAUGAAAAGUGUGUGAAAUUGAAUAAAUAAUUCAAAACUAUUUUCUAUUUUCAAAAUUAAUUAUUUUGACUAUCCAAACUAUUAACUAUUUUGUUAUUUUCAAUUAAAAACUAUGUUUAUUAAAAUUCUUUUUGCAUAUUUGAGAAUUUGACAAAACUAUGAUAAUGAAAAGUGUUUGAAAUUGAAUAAAUAAUUCAAAACUAUUUUCUAUUUUCCAAAUAAAUUAUUUUGACUAUCCAAACUAUUAAUAUUUUGUUAUUUUUAAUUAAAAACUAUGUUUAUUAAAAUUCUUUUUGCAUAUUUGAGAAUUUNNNNNNNNNNAUUUUUGCAUAUUUGAGAAUUUGACAAAACUAUGAUAAUGAACUCCAUACUUUUUGUGUGUUCAAAAUGCACCAUUCAAAGGCACAUCACAAAAUUACAACAAUUUUUGACUUCAUUUGGUAUUCUUCGUGCAUUUACUUAUUUUUUUUUUGAACUAGUUGACCCUGAAAUUGAAAAGCAUUACUAAUGAACUCUGAAAAUGUUGAAAGUUGGCAUGCUAUCAUCAUUUCACCCACAUAGGAUGUGUUAAAAAGUUGAGAGGGCUACGACAAGAACUGGAUGCACUUCGUGUACAAAACGGACAAUCUCUCUCGAAGUAUCAGGGUUUCGAACGAGAACUCAUCUCUUACAAAUGGAUUUCAUUUUUUUGAACUUAUUUGAACUCCAUACUUUUUGUGUGUUNNNNNNNNNNNNNNNNNNNNNNNNNNNNNNNNNNNNNNNNNNNNNNNNNNNNNNNNNNNNNNNNNNNNNNNNNNNNNNNNNNNNNNNNNNNNNNNNNNNNGAUUUAGUUAGGUUAGUAGUUUUAGUUAGGUUAGUAGAUUUAGUUAGGAGGAGAAGAGGAGAAGAGGAGGAGGAGGAGGACAAGAAGAGGAGAAGAAGAAGAGGAGUAGGAGGAGGAGGAGGAGGAGGAGGAGGAGAAAAAGAAGAAGAAGAGGAGAAGAAAAAAAUAAGAAGGAGAAGAAGAAUAAAAAGAAGAAGAAGAGAAGAAAAAAAUAAGAAGGAGAAGAAGUAAAGAAGAAGAGAAGAAGAGAAUAAGAAAAAAAAAGAAGGAGAAGAAGAGAAAAAAGAAGAAGAAGUUGAUUUUUUAUUGUUUGGUAUUUAGUGGUAGCUAGAUUCUUUUUUAGUUACUUAGUGGUAGAUUAUGUUUUUGUUAUAGUGGUAGAUUCUAUUUUUGUUAUUUUUUUGCUGUUUAGUGCUAUCUAGGUUUAGCGAUAGGUUUAGUUAGCUUGGUUAGUUAGGUUAGUUAGUUAGUUAGCUUACUAGAAAGAAUAGGAAGAAAAAGAAGAGGAGGAGGAGGAGAAGAGGAGGAGGAGGAGAAGAAGAAGAAGAAGAAGAAGAAGAAUAGGAGGAGUAGAAGACAAAAAGAAGAUCACAUGUUUGGUAUUUAGUUUUUUGGAAUUAAUUAGUAGUUUUAGUGGUAGAUUCUGUUAGUUAAUUAAUAGAUUUAGUGGUAGAUUCUGUUAGUUUAUUCGCCCAUCAUUAUUGCUUAGGUUCAAGACUACUUCAAAGAAGAUCACAUGUUCUUUUGUUGAAAUCAAGUCUGUCAAAAUCAUGUAUCGUCUAUAUUUAUUGGUAGCGGAGCAAAACAGGACAACUUAAAUAAUAUUGCCAUCCUCAAAUGUAGAAAAUAUCGAAAAGUUUUAUAUAAACUGAAAAGUAGUAUAGGUAACCUGGAAAGUCCUCUGGACCAAAAGGGCAACUUCUGGACCUGCGAACUUUGCGUGGUAGGUGCAUGUCCAUGCAGCAGGGUAAUUUCCCCAACAAUGACAUAAUUAGUCCAUUUAGCUCCAAAAUACCAUAAUAAGCUCAAAAUGGCAUAAGAACCUUGGUUAGCUCAUUAAUAUUAUAUACUUAGCUUGUUUUCCUCUAAAAUGGGAUAAUUAGCCCAUUUAGCUCAAAAAAGACAUAAUUAGGUAAUUUACCUCCAACAAGAGGAGAACAGGAGAAGAAAUAGGCAAAAUGAAAAGAAAGAAGAAGAAGAAGAAGAAGAAGAAGAAGAAGAAGAGAAGAAGGAGAAGGAGGAGGAGGAGGAGAAGGCCAAGGACCUUCUAUCCUUCUCCUCCUCCUCCUUCUCCUCCUCCUCCUCCUUCUUCUUGAUUUCUUCUUCUUCUCCUCCUCCUCCUCUUUCUUCUCUUCUUUCAUAUUAUCCUUGCUUUAAUUAACCCAACAAUGACAUAAUUAGCCCAUUUAGCUCCAAAAUACCAUAAUAAGCUCAAAAUGGCACAAGAACCUUGGUUAGCUCAUGAAUAUUAUAUACUUACCUUGUUUUCCUCUAAAAUGACAUAAUUGGAAUAUUUGUGUUGAUCGGGUGGAUUUACAUGUGAUAGUUGUCUCGUCGCUGUGAGGUCUGUUGUGCGAAGACCUGCCCGUGCGUUGUACGAGCUCCGCCCCUGUAUUCGUGGUCAGUACAAAUUUCAUCUCCUCCCCGCCCCUUCAUUUACUGUGGCUCGGUUUCCGGAUGAAACUUUCUAGAUUUAGGUAAUUCAAUUAAUUUAUCAGUAUGCGUGACCAGUAUGCGUCUCCCGUUCGAAAGGGCGACAUCUAUAAAUAUGCAUGUCUUUGCAUAUUUAUAACCUCCAACCUUUCGAAUUGUCCAACAUUAUCCAUUGACAGCCCGAGUAUGUGUAGAUUGGGUUCGUUUUCCCGUAUGCUGUGCUCUGGAUCCGAUGCGGAAUUUCGUCAGUGCCUCCCUGUUGUUCUCCGGAUGCACAUCCUCUCUGUUUAUUGCGGAGACGUGUAUCAGGAGAACAGCGAGGAGGUGCUGCCGAAAUUUUAUGUUGGAUCCGGAGCAGAGCAUGGGAAAACGAACCCAAUCUACACAUACUCGGGUGGGAUUAGGACCUAUCUUUACCUAUUAGCGUGUAGGUUGCCUGGACGUAAUAAAAAUGGCGAACCUGAUUAACCGAUGAAUAUAAAUGCUAAAUUAUAUAUAAAUAUAUUUCUUCUGUCUUUAGUAGCUACGCAAGAUGAGUGAUCGUGCGUGGAUGUAUACCAGUCACCCUAGUCAGAAAGAGAUGACGAAAGAAUGAUUUUUAAAAACAAAGGAAUUUGUGAAAGCCGCAUUCGCAAAUGGCCAGGAAAGAAAGUAUUGCCCCUGUCUUGGAUGCGACAACUAUAAAAAGACGACAGAGGCUGUAAUGAUUAAACACCUGCAGAGGAGGGGUUUUAAGCCUAAUUAUACGGUGUGGACAUUUCAUGGUGAGUCUAUACAACGCACAAGAGCUGAGGUGGUCCGUCGUCGCACGGACGAGCAUGGUACUGGGAUCGAAGACAUGGUGCAAGACUUUGAUGAUGCUCGGGAUUUGGAAGAUGAGAUGGAGGAAUCUGCAAAGGCCUUUUAUGAAAUGUUGGAGUCUUCAAAACAUCCUNNNNNNNNNNNNNNNNNNNNNNNNNNNNNNNNNNNNNNNNNNNNNNNNNNNNNNNNNNNNNNNNNNNNNNNNNNNNNNNNNNNNNNNNNNNNNNNNNNNNCAAUCACACGAGGUCGGGACAGCGGCCGAGGCCUUCUGAAGAUUGAGCUAGCGGGGCACUGAAGGAGAAGGGUGGAAGAGACAUAUGGUAAUGUGCAUGGCGUGGCCCGUCCAAAACUGAGAAUGAGAUAACCCACUCCAAAAAAUGGUUUGCGCUAACAGACUUAGCAAAAGAAGUGAGCCGAUAAAAUGGUUAAAGGCAAUUGCAAUGAACAUUGCAGGGAACCCUAUGAUGCUUCUGGGGUCCAUCUGGUGGCUUCGGAGCCCCCCCCCCCCAAAACCCAACCCAACCUAUAAAAAGCUUCUCUGACGCACAUCCUUCACAAGCCAUUGCUGGAGGAGGCCUAAGGAAAAAGCCCCAGGGUAGACGAGAACAGGGAGCCCCCCUAGAUCCAUGCAUGUUGGGCGUGUUGCCCAAUAAGCUAGCUCUGGUUUUCACGACAACUCUUUUUUCAGUUUCAAUUUUUUUGAAAAGGAGGAACAAAGCCCCCGGCUUCUGCAUCAAUCGAUGCGUGCAUCCGUAUUAUUAAUAAAAUCCAAGAGUAGAGUCACAGGUUUGAAAAGAGCUCACAAUCUGAGCAUAAACACAAAUCUGGAAGUAAAUAAAGACUGUCACAGCCGACGAAACCAGCAAUAGGCUACGAUGACUAUACACCUAGCCUAUUAAUAGCUCGCCAUCCAAAUCGGUCGAAGAUAACCCGUGCGACCGUCUGCCACCGGUUGCAUCCAAUACUUCUUUCGUUAGGUUAGUUAGUUGUUUCCCGCAAGACACGUUCAGUGGGAUCCAUGGAAAAUUUAUAGGAGUUGUGGACUGCGUGCUCGAUCGUGAGAGGAGCACCGGGAUUGCGGCAUGAAGUGUCUCUGUUAAGCAAUAAAAGGGGGAAAGUAAAUAGAAAACAACAAGUCUUACGCUUCGUAAAAUUCCUCUCUCCUGAAAGCUGAUUCAUAGUGUUGAGAAGCGACAAGUGGCAUCACAACCAUGUGAAGGACACCUGCAGCCCCGGGUGCACGUGUCUCGCAACGUGUGUUCGACGAGAAACCGAGCUAGGACUGGAGGCACGAGACAGCGGGCACGGGCGGUACUUUUACCGUUGAUUUCUCGACAUAGGGUGGCUCGAUGGAAGAUGGUGCCAUGGCAGCAAAGUCAGUACCAACGGCGCCAUGCAAAACCGUUGCCCUGGAACCCAUCUUUGUUGCGAGGGCAGCUGAUUCACCUGCGGGUGGUGCGCCACCUACUUCUGCAGUAUGGCUGGACGUACAAUUCGCCACCCCGCCGCCCUACGACCGGGCCAUGUUCGACGACGNNNNNNNNNNCACCAACGGCGCAAUGCGAAACCAUUGACCUGGAACCCAUCUUCGUUGCGAGGGCAGCUGAUUUGCCCGCGGGUGGUGCGCCACCUACUUCUGCAGUAUGGUUGGACGUACAAUUCGCCACCCCGCCGCCCUACGUCCGGACCAUGUUCGACGACGCUGACGACCCCGACGCCGUUCACCGCUACCGCCGCGUGGAUGAUGUGCUCGAGCACGACGCGGCUAACUCCAGCAGAACAGAGCAGCUGCUCCUGCUGCCUGAAAGAAAACCGGCGACCUUUGUAGAGGCCGGGGCCCAUGCGGCAUGGCGAGCGAUGAUGGAGGAAAUGGCAUGCACCAAGUNNNNNNNNNNNNNNNNNNNNNNNNNNNNNNNNNNNNNNNNNNNNNNNNNNNNNNNNNNNNNNNNNNNNNNNNNNNNNNNNNNNNNNNNNNNNNNNNNNNNUCAACGACAACCGGCCUCCUCGUUUUCCCGAAUGUGCGACACACACGUGAAAGCUAGGCCCUUGCUCUGCCGGCAUGUGUUGGAUGUGUUCUUAGCUCUCUAGUUCGCCCCUCCACCCAUGACCGAGGCGCCACCCAACACAUCGACUCUGACACUCAACGCCCACUUGCAUCGUGGACCCUGGGAGCGCUUGUAGAGGUAGAGCCCUCUCUUUGAAUUAGACAAUAGUGUGAUGUAAGCGGAUAAUAAGCUCCCUAUUAUACUUGCUCUAAGGUUAUGUCAUAUGCAUGAUGAUGGAAGUGGCUAUGUCUUAAUAAUCUUUUAAUAUCAUUGGUAAACAGAAGGACAUGAAUCACUGACGAAGAUCUUAAGAUUUGUGGUUUUUAGUCCUCUCUCUAUUUUUUCACUCCGCAUCGACAUGCACUUGACUACAAAUAUAUGACCAUUAGUCCAUUACUUUUUUUAGGUACUUAAACAUUACUUUUUGUACCAACUCAAAAAAAUGGACAUAAAACUAUAAGGAAAUAAAUAUUAAUUAUACAAUAAUGCAAGAUGAUUUCGAUGUGAAAUAUGAAAGCGGAUUAUAAGCUGCCUAUUAUACUUACUCUAAGGCU
rnacentral:lncRNA from 1 species